UGGUUUGAUUCUGGCUCAGAGUGAACGCUGGCGGCGUGCCUAAUACAUGCAAGUCGAACGAUGAAGCUCUAGCUUGCUAGAGUGGAUUAGUGGCGCACGGGUGAGUAAUGCAUAGAUAACAUGCCCUUUAGUCUAGGAUAGCCAUUGGAAACGAUGAUUAAUACUGGAUACUCCUUACGAGGGAAAGUUUUUCGCUAAAGGAUUGGUCUAUGUCCUAUCAGCUUGUUGGUGAGGUAAUGGCUCACCAAGGCUAUGACGGGUAUCCGGCCUGAGAGGGUGAACGGACACACUGGAACUGAGACACGGUCCAGACUCCUACGGGAGGCAGCAGUAGGGAAUAUUGCUCAAUGGGGGAAACCCUGAAGCAGCAACGCCGCGUGGAGGAUGAAGGUUUUCGGAUUGUAAACUCCUUUUGUUAGAGAAGAUAAUGACGGUAUCUAACGAAUAAGCACCGGCUAACUCCGUGCCAGCAGCCGCGGUAAUACGGAGGGUGCAAGCGUUACUCGGAAUCACUGGGCGUAAAGAGCGCGUAGGCGGGAUAGCAAGUCAGAUGUGAAAUCCUAUGGCUUAACCAUAGAACUGCAUUUGAAACUGUUAUUCUAGAGUAUGGGAGAGGUAGGUGGAAUUCUUGGUGUAGGGGUAAAAUCCGUAGAGAUCAAGAGGAAUACUCAUUGCGAAGGCGACCUGCUAGAACAUAACUGACGCUGAUGCGCGAAAGCGUGGGGAGCAAACAGGAUUAGAUACCCUGGUAGUCCACGCCCUAAACGAUGAAUGCUAGUUGUUGUGGAGCUUGUCUCUGCAGUAAUGCAGCUAACGCAUUAAGCAUUCCGCCUGGGGAGUACGGUCGCAAGAUUAAAACUCAAAGGAAUAGACGGGGACCCGCACAAGCGGUGGAGCAUGUGGUUUAAUUCGAAGAUACACGAAGAACCUUACCUAGGCUUGACAUUGAUAGAAUCCGCUAGAGAUAGUGGAGUGCUAGCUUGCUAGAACUUGAAAACAGGUGCUGCACGGCUGUCGUCAGCUCGUGUCGUGAGAUGUUGGGUUAAGUCCCGCAACGAGCGCAACCCUCGUCCUUAGUUGCUAACUAUUCGGUAGAGCACUCUAAGGAGACUGCCUUCGCAAGGAGGAGGAAGGUGAGGAUGACGUCAAGUCAUCAUGGCCCUUACGCCUAGGGCUACACACGUGCUACAAUGGGAAGCACAAAGAGAUGCAAUAUUGUGAAAUGGAGCAAAUCUAUAAAACUUCUCUCAGUUCGGAUUGUAGUCUGCAACUCGACUACAUGAAGCUGGAAUCGCUAGUAAUCGUAAAUCAGCUAUGUUACGGUGAAUACGUUCCCGGGUCUUGUACUCACCGCCCGUCACACCAUGGGAGUUGUAUUCGCCUUAAGUCGGAAUGCCAAACUGGCUACCGCCCACGGCGGAUGCAGCGACUGGGGUGAAGUCGUAACAAGGUAACC
rnacentral:rRNA from 1 species